GAUGAACGCUAGCGGCAGGCCUAAUACAUGCAAGUCGAACGAGAUUAAGAGGCUUGCUUCUUAUGAAAGUGGCGCACGGGUGCGUAACGCGUAUGCAACCUACCUUAAUCAGGGGGAUAGCCCGAAGAAAUUCAGAUUAAGACCGCAUAAAAACACAGGAUAGCAUUAUCCAAUGUUCAAAUAUUUAUAGGAUUAAGAUGGGCAUGCGUGUCAUUAGCUAGUUGGCGGGGUAACGGCCCACCAAGGCGACGAUGGCUAGGGGAUCUGAGAGGAUGACCCCCCACACUGGUACUGAGACACGGACCAGACUCCUACGGGAGGCAGCAGUAAGGAAUAUUGGUCAAUGGAGGGAACUCUGAACCAGCCAUGCCGCGUGCAGGAAGACAGCCCUCUGGGUCGUAAACUGCUUUUAUUCGGGAAUAAACCUUUCUACGUGUAGGAAGCUGAAUGUACCGAAGGAAUAAGGAUCGGCUAACUCCGUGCCAGCAGCCGCCGUAA
rnacentral:rRNA from 1 species